AUUUUGUAUAAUAUUGUUUGUCUUUUUUGGUUGUUUUCUUGUUUUGUCAUGGCGUUGUUCUAUUAUUUUUGACGUAUGAGUUUGGAUGUCCAUUUUGAUAUCUUUCGCCUCUCUUUUACUUUACAAAGUUUACCCCCUGGUGUUUUCAAUUACCAAUAAGCACUUCAACCUCUUCACAUCCUUCCUCUGCAGCCUUUACUUGCC
rnacentral:lncRNA from 1 species